rnacentral:rRNA from 1 species
CAAUAGCGUAUAUUAAAGUUGUUGCGGUUAAAAAGCUCGUAGUUGGAUUUCUGUCGAAGGCGGCCGGUCCGCACUAUGUGCGUGUAUCUGGUUCGGUUUUGGCAUCCUCUUGGGGAACGUUUCUGUGCUUGAUUGCAUGGGGCGGGAUUCAAGACUUUUACUUUGAGGAAAUUAGAGUGUUCACGGCAAGCUUUCGCUUUGAAUACAUUAGCAUGGAAUAAUAAUAUAGGGCGUAAGUUCUAUUUUGUUGGUUUCUAGGACAUACGCAAUGAUUAAUAGGGACAAUUGGGGGCAGUUCGUAUUUCGUUUGUCAGAGGUGAAAUUCUUGGAUUUCCGAAAGACGAACUACUGCGAAAGCAUUUACCAAGGAUGUUUUCAUUAAUCAAGAACGAAAGUUAGGGGAUCGAAGACGAUUAGAUACCG